CUCCGCUCCACUGCGUAUUUGCCUUAUGACGCAGUUUUGAUUUAAAACUGAGUUUUAUGUUCUAGUGUAAGGUACAAAAGUGUUGGACCGGCAGUUUAACCAAUUGCUACUAGAUUUGUUGAUGUAUCUUUUCAGUAGUAUUGGAGAGUGAAGACGGGAACCUGAAGGAGUCAUUCGGUGGUUUUGGAGAGGAUCAACCAUUAUUGAAUUUGUUCAAGAAAGAGUGAUCUGCAUGAGAUAGCCUCUGCUAAAAGCAGCAGAAAAGACUGUGCAGUAUCUAGUAUCCAGAGGGAAAGAUAUUGUGAACCGGAGUUGUCCCAGCACUGAUCCUUACAGACUAGACACCAAUGGUCACAGUCUUCCUGUCAGAGAAGCACCCUCCAUGGGGCCAUGGACAAUUCUGAUUUGAUGGAGAAUGGAAGUGAAAGCACAGAGGAACAUCUGGAGAAAUUUCUGAAACGCUCGUUCGCUGCUGUCAUUACUGCGUGGUCGGGAAUCUUUCGGAGGGUAGGCCUCAAAAUCCCCAGCCCUGCCUGCUUUUGGUGACCGAGAAGGAGGUCGAAUCGUUCAGACAGAGAUGGUGCUCAGUACUCAGUGUCGGAGGGCUGAUCAGAGCUCCAAGUUUUUGGAUGACUUAGAAUCGGGUUGUGGUCGGCAUGGCAGGGAGAGUUUUUCUUCCUUCUCCCGUCUGCAUGAGAUGUGGGACAUUUGAGAAACUUUGAACUUUACUGUGCUCAUGGACUUCUUCAUCAAGUUAUGGUAUUGUUACACUGUUGUAACUAUAUGUUAUAAUUAUGUGGUUUUGUCAGUUAUUUUCAGUCUUGGUUUGUCCUGUGUUUUGUGAUAUCACA